AAUUUUUCACAUGUCUUUUGGGUAUGAAACCCAUUUGGGCGAGAGUAGUACUAGGAUGGGUGACCUCCUGGGAAGUCCUCGUGAAAGGGUUU
rfam:Triticum aestivum genome assembly, contig: Triticum_aestivum_CS42_TGACv1_scaffold_096821_2AL